rnacentral:rRNA from 1 species
GGUCCUGAACAUCCUCGGAAGCUUUUUAAGAGAGAAAGUUUUCUCUUCCGAGACAAAGUGACAGGUGGUCCAUGGUCGUCUCAAGCGCGUGUCGUGAGAUGUUGGGUUAAGUCCCGCAACGAGCGCAACCCUUUUUGUUAGUUACCAGCAUUCAGAUGGCCACUCUAGCGAGACUGCCGGUGACAAACCGGAGGAAGGCGGGGACGACGUCAGAUCAUCAUGCCCCUUAUGACCUGGGCUACACACGUGCUACAAUGGCGUAUACAACGAGUUGCCAACCCGCGAGGGUGAGCUAAUCUCUUAAAGUACGUCUCAGUUCGGAUUGUAGUCUGCAACUCGACUACAUGAAGUCGGAAUCGCUAGUAAUCGCGGAUCAGCACGCCGCGGUGAAUACGUUCCCGGGUCUUGUACACACCGCCUGAAUUCCAG